AGCACACGUGAAUGACCUAAAGAUCUUAUACGAAUGCAGAUUUUGAUUCUGGAGGUCUUGGAUGGGCCCGACAGUCUGCAUUUCUAAUAAGCUCCCAGAAAAAUAUCCAACCCGAGCAGGAUAAAACUGAUCAUCCUGAGGAUAUUGCCCUUGGAGUUAAUUUUUUGAGAGAAAUAAAACAAUAAACAUCAUAAGACACAAACCCCAAGCAACUGGUAACCCUGGGAUAUAAAAACAUAUCCAUUGAUAUUUAACCUACCACAGAUUGGCACUAAAUGUAACAACAGUAGGACUAGGACAACUUGGGAUCAUGUGAACAGACCAGAAACUACAGACUGCAACAGAAAUGUGCAGAUUGCCCAGGUGGUUUCUACAGCCUUGCAGCGAUGAAACCCCAUGUCUUAUAUACUUGGUGUUUCCUCUGUUUGAUUCUAAUGAGCUUCUAAUCUCUACUGAUGGUGUUUCUCUUUCUACCUCAUCAGCCCAGGGCUCAUUCAUUUUAUCCUGUUUCACCUAUGCUAUAGAUAAUAGAAAACCCAAGGCCACUCAAACAUAAGUAGCUUGAUCAAUGCUAAUUCCUGAUCAAGUCAACCCAAUAUCCAGCAUCAAUUAGAUAAUGUAAAUUGUAUUUCCUCACUAAUUUAUUAUAAAUUAUAAUAAAAUGUAAAGCAUAGUGUUUAUAAUAUACCAGACAUUAUCCUAGCUCUUUUGCAUGAAUUGACUUUU
rnacentral:lncRNA from 10 species